GUGGGGAAUCUUGCGCAAUGGGCGAAAGCCUGACGCAGCCAUGCCGCGUGAAUGAUGAAUGUCUUAGGAUUGUAAAAUUCUUUCACCGGGGACGAUAAUGACGGUACCCGGAGAAGAAGCUCCGGCUAACUUCGUGCCAGCAGCCGCGGUAAUACGAAGGGGGCUAGCGUUGCUCGGAAUUACUGGGCGUAAAGGGCGCGUAGGCGGACAGCUUAGUCAGAGGUGAAAGCCCAGGGCUCAACCUUGGAAUUGCCUUUGAUACUGGCUGUCUUGAGUACGGGAGAGGUGAGUGGAACUCCGAGUGUAGAGGUGAAAUUCGUAGAUAUUCGGAAGAACACCAGUGGCGAAGGCGACUCACUGGCCCGUUACUGACGCUGAGGCGCGAAAGCGUGGGGAGCAAACAGGAUUAGAUACCCCUGUAGUCC
rnacentral:rRNA from 1 species